GAUGAAGAACGUAGCGAAAUGCGAUACGUAAUGUGAAUUGCAGAAUUCAGUGAAUCAUCGAAUCUUUGAACGCGUAUUGCGCUCUCUGGUAUUCCGGAGAGCAUGCUUGUUUGAGUAUCAGUAAACACCUCAACUUCCAUAUCUUUUUUGAAAUGGGAGUUGGACUUGAGUGAUCCCAACGCUUUUCCUCACCGAAAAGUGGCGGGUUACUUGAAAUGCAGGUGCAGCUGGACUUUUCUCUGAGCUAUAAGCAUAUCUAUUUAGUCUGCCUAAAAAACAGAUUAUUACCUUUGCUGCAGCUAACAUAAAGGAGAUUAGUUCUUGUGCUGACUGAUGCAGGAUUCACAAAGACAGGCUUCGGCCGACUUUGUAAACUCGAUCUCAAAUCAAGUAAGACUACCCGCUGAACUUAAGCAUAUCAAUAAGCGGAGGA
rnacentral:misc_RNA from 1 species